rnacentral:rRNA from 1 species
CCUACGGGAGGCAGCAGUGGGGAAUAUUGCACAAUGGGGGAAACCCUGAUGCAGCAACGCCGCGUGAAGGAAGACGGUUUUCGGAUUGUAAACUUCUGUUCUUAGUGAAGAAUAAUGACGGUAGCUAAGGAGCAAGCCACGGCUAACUACGUGCCAGCAGCCGCGGUAAUACGUAGGUGGCAAGCGUUGUCCGGAAUUACUGGGUGUAAAGGGAGCGUAGACGGCGAUGCAAGCCAGAUGUGAAAGCCCGGGGCUCAACCCCGGGACUGCAUUUGGAACUGUGUGGCUGGAGUGUCGGAGAGGCAGGCGGAAUGCCUAGUGUAGCGGUGAAAUGCGUAGAUAUUAGGAGGAACACCAGUGGCGAGGGCGGCCUGCUGGACGAUGACUGACGUUGAGGCUCGAAAGCGUGGGGAGCAAACAGGAUUAGAUACCCCGGUAGUC